UCCGUGGAGCCUAGUGGUCAUGGUUGCGAACUUGCAUUUCGUCCAGUCGUGGGUUCGAGCCCCUAUGCCACGAAA